AGAAGCUGGUCUGGCAAUCCUCAUGGCACGUAAAGAGGCGGUCAUCCGUGAGGACCAGGCAGCAGGAUUUCCGGGGAUCUCAGAGCCUAAGUUCUAAGAUACAGAAAACCGCGUCUCUCGGUCCCAAAGCAGGCUCCUGCCAAGCCCAUGUGUUCUUGCUCCGGCUCCUGUGAUUCUCCUCAGCACACGCAGUUGCACCCAAGAGGAGCCCUGAGAGCAGGGCAAGGAGACACUGCCCUGGCAGCUGCAGUUGCACAAUCUCCAAAUUGCUGAGGGGACACCUCCAUCCAUGGAUCCAUCCUUGCCCUGGCUCUUCCGGCAAGGCCCACCCCUCCAACUCCUCUAAGGUGGCCCAUGGGCCCAACCUAAGGAGACUGUGCCGCCUUCUUCAGCUUGCACGGAGAUAAAGAGGGGAAAAUGGCCAGUUUUAUCCAUGAACACCAGGGCCUAAGGUUUGAAAGAAACCAGGCUGUUCCAGUAAAUCAUUGGGUCAAGACAACAAAAUGACCUGCAGCUUCUUCCUCGGUCCCUGAUGCAAAGGGUGCGACCAUCCCAAACACAUCAGCGAGCGCAGAAGGAACUCAGAGAAAUCGGACGGACACACAGGACACAGUGGCAAGGUUUCCCUGCGCUUCAGACCUGCCUGGUUCUCUCUUCUUCUAGGGGUUGCUUAACCUCCUUCUG
ensembl:lncRNA novel transcript, antisense to SLC25A34 and PLEKHM2